rnacentral:rRNA from 1 species
UGGGGAAUUUUGGACAAUGGGCGAAAGCCUGAUCCAGCAAUGCCGCGUGUGUGAAGAAGGCCUUCGGGUUGUAAAGCACUUUUGUCCGGAAAGAAAUCCUUGGCUCUAAUACAGUCGGGGGAUGACGGUACCGGAAGAAUAGGCACCGGCUAACUACGUGCCAGCAGCCGCGGUAAUACGUAGGGUGCAAGCGUUAAUCGGAAUUACUGGGCGUAAAGCGUGCGCAGGCGGUUUGCUAAGACCGAUGUGAAAUCCCCGGGCUCAACCUGGGAACUGCAUUGGUGACUGGCAGGCUAGAGUAUGGCAGAGGGGGGUAGAAUUCCACGUGUAGUAGUGAAAUGCGUAGAGAUGUGGAGGAAUACCGAUGGCGAAGGCAGCCCCCUGGGCCAAUACUGACGCUCAUGCACGAAAGCGUGGGGAGCAAAACAGGAUUAGAUACCCUGGUAGUCCACGCCCUAAACGAUGUCAACUAGUUGUUGGGGAUUCAUUUCCUUAGUAACGUAGCUAACGCGUGAAGUUGACCGCCUGGGGAGUACGGUCGCAAGAUUAAAACUUAAAGGAAUUGACGGGGUCAUAGCUGUUUCCU